GUGAAGGAAGAGAAAGAGGAAAAAGAAUAUAUUUGUGAGGGCAUUUCUGCAAAAUACUAGCUAAAGCGUUUGAAGGGACAUAUUUGUGAGGGUAAAAUGUCAUUUCACGAAUUUACUGUUAAAAAAUAAACAGCUCUUUAACGGAUCCUAACCAAAGGUACAUAUCUGAAUACAUUAGGACUUUUGCAGGGAUAUAUUAUAAAAGUUGAGUUUUGCAGGAAUAUAUCUGUAAUUCACCAUGUUU
rnacentral:lncRNA from 1 species